rnacentral:rRNA from 1 species
GACGAACGCUGGCGGCGUGCUUAACACAUGCAAGUCGAACGGAAAGGCCCUGCUUUUGUGGGGUGCUCGAGUGGCGAACGGGUGAGUAACACGUGAGUAACCUGCCCUUGACUUUGGGAUAACUUCAGGAAACUGGGGCUAAUACCGGAUAGGAGCUCCUGCUGCAUGGUGGGGGUUGGAAAGUUUCGGCGGUUGGGGAUGGACUCGCGGCUUAUCAGCUUGUUGGUGGGGUAGUGGCUUACCAAGGCUUUGACGGGUAGCCGGCCUGAGAGGGUGACCGGCCACAUUGGGACUGCGGUACGGCCCAGACUCCUACGUGAGGCAGCAGUGGGGAAUAUUGCACAAUGGGCGGAAGCCUGAUGCAGCAACGCCGCGUGCGUGAUGCCGGCCUUCGGGUUGUAAACCGCUUUCGCCUGUGACGAAGCGUGAGUGACGGUAAUGGGUAAAGAAGCACCGGCUAACUACGUG